UGAUACCGAUUUAGUAUAAAUAAGAAAUAAC
rnacentral:piRNA from 1 species